GACGAACGCUGGCGGCGUGCUUAACACAUGCAAGUCGAACGGUAAGGCCCUUCGGGGUACACGAGUGGCGAACGGGUGAGUAACACGUGGGUGAUCUGCCCUGCACUUCGGGAUAAGCCUGGGAAACUGGGUCUAAUACCGGAUAGGACCACUGCCUGCAUGGGUGGUGGUGGAAAGCUUUUGCGGUGUGGGAUGGGCCCGCGGCCUAUCAGCUUGUUGGUGGGGUGAUGGCCUACCAAGGCGACGACGGGUAGCCGGCCUGGGAGGGUGACCGGCCACACUGGGACUGGGAUACGGCCCAGCCUCCUACGGGAGGCAGCAGUGGGGAAUAUUGCACAAUGGGCGCAAGCCUGAUGCAGCGACGCCGCGUGAGGGAUGACGGCCUUCGGGUUGUAAACCUCUUUCAGCACCGACGAAGCGCAAGUGACGGUAGGUGCAGAAGAAGGACCGGCCAACUACGUGCCAGCCGCCGCCGUAA
rnacentral:rRNA from 1 species